rnacentral:lncRNA from 1 species
UUUCCACCACCACCACCACCAAUCCAUUCACCCCCACUACCAGUUCAUUCUCCCUCACCACCAGUUCACUCUCCUCCACCACCACCAGUGCACUCACCUCCACCGCCAGUGCACUCACCUCUACCACCAGUUCACUCAUCCCCACCACCGAUCCAUUCACCACCACCACCAGUCCACUCACUCCCACCAUCACUAGUCCACUCACAUUCACCGCCAGUGCACUCGCCUCUACCACCAAUUCACUCACCCCCACCACCGGUUCAUUCACCUCCACCAUCAGUGCACUCGCCUCCACCACUAGUCCAUUCUCCUUCCCCACCAGCGCACUCGCCUCUACCACCCGUUCAUUCCCCUCCACCACUAGUGCACUCACCCCCACCACCAGUCCAUUUUCCUCCACCACCGCCAGUGCACUCGCCUCCACCACCAAUUCACUCACCUUCACCACUGGUCCAUUCACCUCCACCACCGGUGCGCUCGCCUCCACUACUAAUCCAUUCUCUUCCACCGCCAGCGUACUCACCUCCACCACCCGUUCACUCCCCUCCACCACCAGUGCACUCACCCCAACCACCAGUUCAUUCUCAUCCACCACCUGUCCAUUCUCUUCCACCACCAAUGCAUUCACCCCCACCACCCGUCCAUUCCCCCCCACCACCCGUCCACUCCCCUCCACCACUAGUGCACUCACCUCCACCACCAGUGCACUUACCCCCACCACCAGUCCAUUUUCCUCCACCACCAGUGCACUCACCCCCACCACCAAUCUACUCACCUCCACCACCUGUCCAUUCUCCUCCGCUACCAGUGCACUCACCCCCACCACCAGCACCAGUUCACUCACCGCCACCUCUAGUCCAAUCACCACCACCAGCUUCUCCAUCUUUAUCACCUCCUGUUCCCAUUUUCUCACCACCCCCUCCAGACUUCGUCUUGCCAUCGACCUUCGGGUUCCAAUACUCAUCUCCACCUCCGCCAAUGUUCCCAGGCUACUAAGCGCACUACGAUAUCAAACUCAUUGCUCGCCCCUGCAUGAAACUUUGUUUAUAAAUAUUUACAAUCUCACAAAAAUACACCCACUUUUGUUAGUUGACCAUAGCUUUUAAUUCAUGACAUCAAAGUGUAAAUCUUUUCAUAUGCUAUUCAAUGCAAUAAAAGGACGUUAUCGGCAAAUUGCAUAUCCAUUUUUUUUUCUUUUGUUUAAUUUGAAGAAUCUGAUGUGUGUGAAUGCAUACUACUACAAAAGAUCAAGCACCACUACAUCUAAUUCUAGGGUAAUUCUAGAGAGAUCAUAGUCUUCCUUGCAGUUUCCAUAAUUCUAUUAUAUUACCUUAUAACGUUGAUUAGUUUUCUAGACCGUCGUAAAAUGAGUGUUAGCUCACAUUUAAAAAAAAAUGUGAGUUUCUUCAAGAUCUUUUGUGUUCGUUUUAAAAGAAAAAUUUAUAAGCUACCAUUUAACUCUUAAUUAGGGGGUUUUAAGUUUGGAAACAAAAUACAAUAAAAUACUAGCUAUCGGGGCCUAUAUUGAUUUUUGACAGCUAUAAUGGAUUUUUGGCGGCCAAAACAUCUCUGUAAUAUCUUACAUGAAUUUAAAGAAGUUUUAUAGUGAAGUGUUAAUGCCAGAAAAUAGGUUUUAUGAUGGUGUUUGUGAAACUUUUGCAAAAACAAUUGAAACAUGAUGAGUUACACCUCACAAUUCUUGUAAGGCAUAAUUUGAUAUAUGUCCAUUUUUGUAAAGUUCUUAUUAGGAGUAGUUCAAUUUUGUGUAGGGUGGUGCUCUUCACACAUCAUUUUUUUUUUAGAGUAAAUUGUACAAAUGGUCCCUCAACUUUAAUUAAAUUGGAGCAAUGGUCCCUCAACUAAAAAUCCAUUACCUUUGGUCCCUCAACUUAUCAAAACGUGCAGCUAUGAUCCCUCAACUAAAAAUCCAUUACCAUUGGUCCCUGAACUUUAAUUCAAGUGGAGAAAUGGUCCUUUAACUUUAACCCAAUUGUAGCAAUGGUCCUUUCAAUAUAACUCGUUUUGACAAAUUUUUUGACAUAGUUGACGAAAAGAACCAUAAUUAUACACUUUGAUGAGUUAAGGGACCCUAAUUAUAUAAAUGAUCAUUCCAACAUAGCUUAUUUUGACAAAAUUUUGACAAAAUUGAUGAAAAGGACUAUAGCUACACAUUUUGAUAAGUUGAGGGACCAAUGGUAAUGGAUUUUUAGUUGAGGGACCAUUGCUCCAAUUUGAUUAAAGUUGAGGGACCAUUUGUACAAUUUACUCUUUUUUUUAUCUUCCACUCACAUUCUAUAAUUUUUGCCUUUUGAUCAUUUUUAAUUCAUUUGAUCCGACGGUAUUGAGACGAGCAUGUAGAAGGUAAAAGGGUGUGUGGAUAACAUUAGGGCCGUCUUUGAGAUUCCCUAUGCGAAAUUUAUAAAAGGACUCCUCGUUAAGAUAGUUACAAAAAAGUAAGACAAUAUAUUGAUGCUAAAAAACAAUCACUUAAAUCAAAACAAAAUUUAUCACUCACGGAUUGCAAGUUUACAAAUGUCAUUAAUUAUAAGUAAAAAAGCUACAAACAUAACCUUCAUUAAAUAAUAAUAAAAAUUCAAUCUUAAACAACCAAACAUGAAAAAAAUGAAAAAUGAAAAUAAAAAAUAAAAAAAUUCAAAACUCUAACUUUAAAGUUUCACUUGAAUAUUCUCUAUAAUAAAAUUGAAAAAAAAAAUAUCGUUUUUAGGAUGUUAUUAUUAACACUCAAAAUAUCUCAUUGUACUCCAAAUUUUUAUAUUUAAAAAGGAAAAAAAUUAUUCUUAUAAGGGUUCAAAUAUAGAACAUUAUUACAUAAUAUUAGAUGGCAAAAUUUUAGGACCCCUUCAAAUUUGGGGCCUUGUGCCCCCUCUAGACAAGACCACCCUGUUGUGUUAUUGUUGAAUUAUGUCUAAUGACAGAGACUCCAUGUAAGCAUUUUUUUUUGUAACAAAUUUAUCCCUUAAGUAAUUAGUAUUAUUCUAUAAUGUUAGUACCAAAUUCACGCAUCACUAUGUGUGGAGAAGAUGCACAAACUUGACUGCUUGUAAAAGAGUAAACGCAAGUAAGACAACAUUGGCACCAUUGGGGUACACCGACCAAAAAUUAAGUAUCAUUUGAGUUUUUGUUACGUUUCAUACCUCAGUCAUAAAUGAAAUAUAUUCAUCUACUUAUACCACAUUUGUUUUUAAUCUACCUCUAUCACAGGUUCUUUUUGCUAGGUUUUUGUGUUUGCCCUAUAACGUUUAUAAGUAUGUCAUACUUUAACCCUAAAAUGAAGGUAUCAUAUAUGCUUCCAUCGUUUUCUCAACCUCUGUGAUAUUAUUAUGGUUUUAUAGGUAUACACAACAUAUGAUUUUUUUUAAAACUAUUUUAUUUUAUUUUAUUUAAUAAAAAAGUACUUUCGUAGAUAAUUGUAAGUUUGAAUAUAUAUAAAUAUUUAAAAACUUAUGUUACUGGUGCGUUAGUUAAGGAUUUUUUUUUUUUGCAGAUUAGUUAAGGAAUUUAAAUAUAUUCUUUGUUACCUCAAAGAGUGAAAUAGGCACAAAAACAAGAAAAUAUAAUUGAACUCACUUAAAAUUUAGCAUAUGAUUUUGGACCUCAAUCUAAAAACCCAUUUUCAUAAAAUAUGUGACAGUUAUAUUUUUGCAAGAUCUUCCCAGUAAGAAAAUUAAUAUAAAUUAUGUGGAAGCGGUCUUGCAAUUUACUGAAUCUCAUAAGUGUUGUAAUUUAAGUUGGAAAACACAAAAAAUAAAUAAACUAGCAAGGCCUAAAAUACAUUUCGGAAGCCAGAACGGUUUUUUGGUCGCUAAAAUAUCUUUGGAAUGCCCUGUAAGAAUUAUAACGGAGCUUAUAGUGCAACAAAAAUGGCACGGAAAUUGAUUAUAUUGUAGAACUUUGCAAAAUCAUUAAAACUUAGGAUUAUAACUCACAAUAUUGUUAAAAAUACGAUUGUUGAGUACUUGAGUUUUAGCAUCGUUUUUGCACGCACAUCACAAAAAAUGUUAGGUAACGGGCCUACCAUUUGGUGACUCUUAUAAGUGAUUUUUAUAGCAUUUUAUGAUGGAGAAAUGGAAAAAUCUAUAAUAAAAUAGGAAUGAGGAUCCUCUUUGGAUCCUCUUUGUGAGGAUCCCGGGGAUCUUCCAAUUACGUCCAUUCAUCGUAUAUUGUAUAAUUAUUUUUCGUCAGGUACUAUUUAUAUUCAAUUUUAAAUAAAAAAAUUUACAAUGAUUUCUAACUGCACGAUGUAAAGAAAUGAUUGGAGGAUCCUCAUUCAUAAAAUAGUGGGAUUUAGAGCACAUAAAUAUCCGACAUCAAUUAAAAAAUUUCAACGGCAAAUGUGUAAUGUUCUGCUGACACACCCCGUCCCGAAGGAGGGCAUGCUGGCCGUCACGUGAGAGUGACGUAACCAUUUGCACAGUACGGAAGCUUUAAGAUACAAUUUAUAAGUUGAUACACCCGAAGGUGAGUCCUAAUUUUGUCCAAUCUGUCAGAACACCGUCGAAUUCCUCGUAGUCACCACACCUUUGUGAUUCCUGAACCUGGAGGGGCGCAAAACCAAAAUUGAGUGGGUCAGUAAAACAAUUCUUUUCCAAAUCCAAACAUUUCUCAAAACGUUGUAACCCCUCUUCGUAAAACCUGUAUACUUUCCCAGAAAUGUAAAAUAUAAAUAUACAUAUAUAUUCUCAAUACUUCAAUUCAUUAACUCAACAUUUUUCAGUACAAAUAUGCCAUGCCAUGUCGGAAUUCAACAGUUAAUUAUGGAUGCAUCAACAAUAAUCAUAUCAGGUGUAAGAAAGUGAUCAACCGGAGGCCCUCUAAUAGCCCUGUACGGUUGAACCUAGAGCUCAAAAUCUAUCACUAUCACUCUGCCGGAGUCACCUCUGUGACCUGUACGGCCUUCUGCACAUAAGUUACGCUCUAGUGCUUUCUCAUUAAUCAUCUGUGCACAUAAUCUAAGGUCACCCACCAGUCGAAAUCUCACUAACACUCUUCGACUGGCCCGUCGCACCCACUCCGCGUGGACUGUGCGACCAGCAUCUACUUGGAUCCAAGGCGAGCGUGCGAUGCGGUGAAUACUAUAAGCACUAAACUAUGGUGCAGGAUUUGAGCUCAAUAUACAUCAACAUCAUCAUAUCAGUAUUUAAAUACUCACCUGAUACUCACCUGUGCGUCCGCCGCACCAUUCAUUCAUAUGCAUCAUAUCUCAAUUCAUACUUUUCAUAUCAUUUCAUGCAUGGCAAUUCGAUUCACAUUUCUAUAUACUAUGCAUAUACUUUUAUGCAUGGCAUCUCAAUUCACAUUUCAAUAUACUUUUCAUAUAAUUUUAUACAUUGCAUUUAAAGCAUAAUUUCAUGCAUUUUCAAUUUCUGGGAAAACGGUAAGUAUAUAUGUAUACGGAAAACAAAACUGCCCACUCACCUGGAGUUCGCCCUACAACUCCCUAGCACAAUACGCCAAGCGUCAUGACGAUCGGCGCCUAAAACAAUAAUCAAUUCCAACCUCAGAAUUCAUAUCGAUAGAAUAUAUAACUUAUACAAAAUACGUCACUACGUAGUUCAAUCCGGAAGAUCCACCACUCAGAUUUUAAAUCCAUAACUUCCAGAGGUCCACAAUAUAUCUCUAGGAUAACUUCCUAAAAUUUCAUUACCAUCCAACGGUCGGAUCUCCGUCAAUUUCCAAAACUAAGUGACGGUUAACAUUUUAUUUUAUGAACUUACAACUCCAAUUCCGGAAGAUCCGUAACUCGGAUUCCCAAUCCGUAAGUUCCAAUAAUCCUCAAACAUUACGUAUUGCAACGUAUUAAAUUUUGGUAACGAUCCAACGGUCGGAUCAUCAAUUCACAUUUUCACCUAAUGCGAAAACUAUAAAACGUUAUUCGAACACCUAACCAACAAUCCUUAAUAACUUUCUCAUACGGUGCUCAAUUUGGGUAUAUGAAUAUACCACAGUGAUCUACUCGACGUCACGGACGUCGACAUAUUUUUAAAAUAAUAUUUUAAUGUAUCACGCGCCCCCACGCGCCAAGGAAGGCACGGGUCCACGCGCGCCCACGCGCACCUUCUUCCUCGCGGGUUCGCCGGACUGGUUUUUCCGGUGGCCGGAAAACUGGGGAAUUUUCAAAUGCUUCGUUCUCCUUCGUUUCUCAACCAUUUUCUUCGUAUAAUAUAUCAAUUUAAAGCCCUCAACAAGAAUCACAAUAUACUACUUUUAAGCUUCAAAAACAACUAAAUCUCACCGGAAAAAUCCAAGCAAAACCGGCCAAACUUAACCCUCGUGAUCCCGACGUCCAAAUCCUUCCAACGAAGCACUCCGAGCUUCCUUGGGACCUCACUAAGCUCGCUGUGAUCUUGUUUUAGCCUAAAUCGUAACCAUUUAAAAGAUCAUGAACAGUACAUAAACACGGGACCUUAAAAACUAGGGUUUUCCGAAGCAAAACUUACCUGAAAUGGAUACCAUCGUGAUCGUGAAGUCUUCAGGGUUCCAAUGGUGGUCUUAGAUUCGUCGUUGGUAUAGAUUUAGGGUGGUUUUGUGGUGGUCCGUGUGAGUUCGAAUGAGAGGGAGAGAGAACUGAGAGUUUCGUGAGGGAGGAGAGAGAGAGUGACAAGGUACGGGAAUUGGGGAAGGUUUUGAGGGAUGUGGGAUCCCCCCGUGUCCAACUCAAUCUCAAUUUCAAACUUUUAACAUAGAGUCUUGGUUUAGGUUUCUAAAACCAAUUAAUAUUCCAAUUCACCAAAGUUUAAGAACCUUAAGUAAAAACAAGUGUCCAAAUUACGUACUUUAGUCCCGUUUAGGGACAUUUUCGUAACUUCACGUCCUCGGAAUUAAAAAUUCCGGGACGGGCUGUGACAAUCUUCCCUCCUUAUAGAAUUUCGUCCCCGAAAUUCCAGCAAUCAACUAAAUCAACCAUACUCCAACAAUAGCCUCAAAUAAAUCUCUCUCAUCCGAUUCUCUUUCUCCCACAUAAUUUUCUACUGAAUGAUUUCCUUCACAAGCUUUUACCACUAUUCUGUCUUAAUUCUCAGGACCUUCUUUUUCCAAUCCCAAGUCGUCCAUAGCUCCUUACUAAUCAGAUCCGGCUUAAUUCUCAAUAGUUGCACCAAAGUCCCAUGUAACGACUCUGCCACUUAGUGACAACGCAUCGAACACAAAAUACAUUAUGUGCCUUAGCCAAUUCUGAAGGCAUCACAAACUUGUAUGCAACUUCGUCGAUUCCUUUAAUGAUCAAAACGGACUGAUGUGUUCAAGACUUAUCUUGUCUCCCUUUCUGAAUCUUACUAUUUCUGUUCAUGGUGAAAUUUCCAAAAAUAUCAAACCAUUUACCUUACACACUUGAUUAGUGGCAUAUCCAUCUGUUAAUCUCUUUUGUCAUUCCUGGCUACUUUCAGGUUAACUUACUCACCUGAAUAUUUUGAGGAGACUCAUCCAUAGUCUCAGGGCCCGCAAGAACUCUUUUGACAACUUCUGUCCAACACAAAGGUGUACUAUAAGGUAACUUGGUAACCAAGCUUCUUGUACGCUAUCCAAAACUUAGAAGUAACCAACAUACUCAAAAACUUAACAGUGUACAUCGUCAAAAUUGCUUUCUUUAAUUCCACAUAAUUUGGCACAUACGUCCCAUUCUCUUGCAUAAACAUACCAUCCAAUUCUGCCUCGGUUAAUUCUUGAAUUCCUUCGUCAAGCAUUUGAGUCUCGAGUACGACCUUACCAAAUAGGCCUAACUUGAAAUUUAACAAGUACAACUUCUUCUCGAUCUUCCAUUCUUAAUUUUUUUUUUCCGUUGGUUUUCAAUCCCCAAGAUGAUACUCUUGGCAAACAUGCCAGACAUUAAUCUUACUGUAGUCUUCUCACCAAGUGCUUCAGCUAGAACAAACUUUACGAUCACCCUGAUCGUACAAUCAUGUUCAUUAAGCAAUACAAGUCACAUUCGCUGCCUCAUAUCAAAAUCCUUCCGAGUAAUGAAUAUUGAAGACUUUUUGGAUUCGUAAAAAUCUUGCAUUCUUACCAAAUAUAAUGCCUUCAUAACUUCACAGCAAGAAUGGUAAUCAUGACUUCCAAGUCACCCGUAGGGUAAUUCAUCUCAUGAGAUUCCAUUUGUCAUGAAACGUAUGCAAUCACCCUAACAUUUGCAUCAACAUGCCUCCAAUACCAUUCAAGAAACAUCACUAAAAAUUUAUGAUUACCACUAUCUUCUAGGAAUACCAAAAUACGUGCAUGAGUGAGGAAAUACUUCAGUUGUUGAAUCCUUUGCUCACAAUUUCCUUCCCACUCAUACAUGACCUCUUUUCUCAACAGUCUCGUCAAUGACAAAGCAAUGACUGAAAAAUCUUUCACAACCAUCCAAGAUAGCCUGGUAAGCUAAGAAAUUCCAAAUCUCAAUUACGACUCGUGGUUGUUCCAAAUUUUAAUUUCUGUUACCUUUUAAGGUUUCACUUGAAUACCUUAAGAAUAUAUAACAUAUCCCAGAAAUGCUGCUUGAUUCAUCCAACAUUCGCAUUUGCUAAACUUAGCAUACAAUCGACAUUCUUCCAAUCUUUGUUCUACCGACUUAAUACGUUUACAUGCUCUGCUCUGGCUCAGAAUAUGCCAGAAUAUCUUCAAUGAAAAUGAUAUCUAUUUAUCAAGGCAUUAUUGGAAUACUUCAUCCAAUAAUUCAUAAAACAGCAUGAGUAUCCAUAUAGCAUCACCAAAUUUCAUAAAAACUAUAACGAGUCCAGAAAAACAAUCUUAGGAACAACGUUACUCAUAAUCUUCAAUUGAUAAUAAACAGACCUCAAGAUCCAUUUUCUUCCUCACCAACAAAUUGGGGCUCCUCAAAAGUGUUGUACUAGGUUGAAUAAAACUUUUAUCAACCAAUUCUCUCAACUGAAUUUCCAAUUCCCUUAACUCAUCAUGAACCAAUCUUUAACAUAAAUUUAUACCUGGCAACAAUUCAAUAGUGAACCUCAUAUCUCUGCCUGAAGGCAAUCCAGGUAUACUUUCAAGGAAGACAUCAAGAAAAGUCUAACUCUUUCGACAUUAUUCACACUACUCCAAACAACAUCAUUUAGCACCACAUGAGCUAAGUAUUUUUGACAGCCUUUCGAAAACAAUCUCUUUGCUCUCACAGCAUAAAUAAUGGCUGAACUCAAUCCACUUUGCAUACUUACAAAAGUAAUCUCUGGUCAUCCAGAUCGAUGGAAAGUACUGGUUUCCCUUAACAUUCCGUCUUGUCACAAUUAUAACCAACCAAUCUAAUGGAACAGAAUUAACUGAUACAAUACAUACUCUAUUACUACUAAGCAUUCUGAAUAAGUACAACACUAACAUAAAAUAACCUACCGGUUUGCUUGCUUAAUGAAUCCACGAAUGAGUUAUUAAUAUUACGGUCUGCAGCCCGCAAUACUGAUAAAUCAUCGUUGUCUCAAUAAGUAGGCAACCACUCUCAAAGAUAUAACAUUACUAAUUUGUCACUCAAUGCAAAAUACAUACACUCGUCUCAACUACAUUUAUUUACUACUCUUUAGGUAAUAACAUACAUAAUAAGAAAUAUAUCAGCCGAAGUCAACUAGAAUGACCAAUACGGCUGAUUCAACUCUUAUCUCAAUAAUACGUCGGCCGGAUCCACUCCGCGUGGUCGGUACGGCCGAGCCUAUAACUCACCAAUUUCUCAUGCGUCAGCCAGAUCCACCUCUCAUGGUCUGUACGGCUGAACAUAUAACUCAUCAAAUCUCUCUGUACCCACGGUCAAUCCGACCAAACUACUAAGUCCAUAAACCUGCUGAAUUGAUACUACGAUGUCAUAGAAAAUUGUUGGGUACAACUGAUUUUAGGGACGAUUCACAAUUCUGUGUCCCCUCUGUUCACAUAAACACAUUUAUUAAUUUCACACUUCCCAAAGUGUUAAUUUUUGUACCUGCUGCACAAGGUACAUUUCCUUUACUCGAAACACCUUGUCUCAAAUAUCUGGGAUUACCAGUAUAUCCAUCACUUUUACUCUGACCAGCGACAUUAAAACCUCAGCUGGAAGAAUUAAUUCUAGCUUCACUUCUUUCGAAGCUCUGAAUCUUUCUAUAUCCUUGAUAUGACGAAUCAUUAACUUUAUCGUCAACUUCCUUGAUUCACAUUUGCAAACUCUUGCUUACUACCAUCGAUAAAUGCCGGAGGGAUAAACUUUUCCUUAAACAAGUCCUUAAACAAUUCUCAAUCGACUAUUCCUCCGGUGACAACAAAUCAUACUCCUGUUUCCACCAGUAUACAAAUUCAUACCCAAAACCAGGUAGUCGUCUCGACCCCCUGUCAGAAGGAAGAUUCCUUUGACUUGCAUAAUCUGAAACAUCUUUUCCAAAUGGUUAAACCGUUACUUCGCUCCCUCAGGUUCAUCAUUUCAUAAGGUGAUUCAAAUUCGACUCAUAACCCGUCUUAAAAUGUCCCUUUAGACAAUAGACUGAAUCACCAUAGUAAUAGUUUCCCCCUAAACCGCUAAAUCAGGGAGACUAAGUUCCUCUAACUACGUGGCUUGCUACGAGGCGGUGUAGUUCUGACAGAAUUCACUAGAACUUCUCAAAAUGUCCAAGAUUGCAACCAUGCUCUGAUACCAACUGACACACCCCGUCCCGAAGGAGGGCAUGCUGGCCGUCACGUGAGAGUGACGUAACCAUUUGCACAGUACGGAAGCUUUAAGAUACAAUUUAUAAGUUGAUACACCCGAAGGUGAGUCCUAAUUUUGUCCAAUCUGUCAGAACACCGUCGAAUUCCUCGUAGUCACCACACCUUUGUGAUUCCUGAACCUGGAGGGGCGCAAAACCAAAAUUGAGUGGGUCAGUAAAACAAUUCUUUUCCAAAUCCAAACAUUUCUCAAAACGUUGUAACCCCUCUCCGUAAAACCUGUAUACUUUCCCAGAAAUGUAAAAUAUAAAUAUACAUAUAUAUUCUCAAUACUUCAAUUCAUUAACUCAACAUUUUUCAGUACAAAUAUGCCAUGCCAUGUCGGAAUUCAACAGUUAAUUAUGGAUGCAUCAACAAUAAUCAUAUCAGGUGUAAGAAAGUGAUCAACCGGAGGCCCUCUAAUAGCCCUGUACGGUUGAACCUAGAGCUCAAAAUCUAUCACUAUCACUCUGCCGGAGUCACCUCUGUGACCUGUACGGCCUUCUGCACAUAAGUUACGCUCUAGUGCUUUCUCAUUAAUCAUCUGUGCACAUAAUCUAAGGUCACCCACCAGUCGAAAUCUCACUAACACUCUUCGACUGGCCCGUCGCACCCACUCCGCGUGGACUGUGCGACCAGCAUCUACUUGGAUCCAAGGCGAGCGUGCGAUGCGGUGAAUACUAUAAGCACUAAACUAUGGUGCAGGAUUUGAGCUCAAUAUACAUCAACAUCAUCAUAUCAGUAUUUAAAUACUCACCUGAUACUCACCUGUGCGUCCGCCGCACCAUUCAUUCAUAUGCAUCAUAUCUCAAUUCAUACUUUUCAUAUCAUUUCAUGCAUGGCAAUUCGAUUCACAUUUCUAUAUACUAUGCAUAUACUUUUAUGCAUGGCAUCUCAAUUCACAUUUCAAUAUACUUUUCAUAUAAUUUUAUACAUUGCAUUUAAAGCAUAAUUUCAUGCAUUUUCAAUUUCUGGGAAAACGGUAAGUAUAGUAUAUAUGUAUACGGAAAAACAAAACUGCCCUCACUCCUGGAGUUUCGCCCUACAACUCCCUAGCACAAUACGCCAAAGCGUCAUGACGAUCGGCGCCUAAAACAAUAAUCAAUUCCAACCUCAGAAUUCAUAUCGAUAGAAUAUAUAACUUAUACAAAAUACGUCACUACGUAGUUCAAUCCGGAAGAUCCACCACUCAGAUUUUAAAUCCAUAACUUCCAGAGGUCCACAAUAUAUCUCUAGGAUAACUUCCUAAAAUUUCAUUACCAUCCAACGGUCGGAUCUCCGUCAAUUUCCAAAACUAAGUGACGGUUAACAUUUUAUUUUAUGAACUUACAACUCCAAUUCCGGAAGAUCCGUAACUCGGAUUCCCAAUCCGUAAGUUCCAAUAAUCCUCAAACAUUACGUAUUGCAACGUAUUAAAUUUUGGUAACGAUCCAACGGUCGGAUCAUCAAUUCACAUUUUCACCUAAUGCGAAAACUAUAAAACGUUAUUCGAACACCUAACCAACAAUCCUUAAUAACUUUCUCAUACGGUGCUCAAUUUGGGUAUAUGAAUAUACCACAGUGAUCUACUCGACGUCACGGACGUCGACAUAUUUUUAAAAUAAUAUUUUAAUGUAUCACGCGCCCCCACGCGCCAAGGAAGGCACGGGUCCACGCGCGCCCACGCGCACCUUCUUCCUCGCGGGUUCGCCGGACUGGUUUUUCCGGUGGCCGGAAAACUGGGGAAUUUUCAAAUGCUUCGUUCUCCUUCGUUUCUCAACCAUUUUCUUCGUAUAAUAUAUCAAUUUAAAGCCCUCAACAUGUAGAAUCACAAUAUACUACUUUUAAGCUUCAAAAACAACUAAAUCUCACCGGAAAAAUCCAAGCAAAACCGGCCAAACUUAACCCUCGUGAUCCCGACGUCCAAAUCCUUCCAACGAAGCACUCCGAGCUUCCUUGGGACCUCACUAAGCUCGCUGUGAUCUUGUUUUAGCCUAAAUCGUAACCAUUUAAAAGAUCAUGAACAGUACAUAAACACGGGACCUUAAAAACUAGGGUUUUCCGAAGCAAAACUUACCUGAAAUGGAUACCAUCGUGAUCGUGAAGUCUUCAGGGUUCCAAUGGUGGUCUUAGAUUCGUCGUUGGUAUAGAUUUAGGGUGGUUUUGUGGUGGUCCGUGUGAGUUCGAAUGAGAGGGAGAGAGAACUGAGAGUUUCGUGAGGGAGGAGAGAGAGAGUGACAAGGUACGGGAAUUGGGGAAGGUUUUGAGGGAUGUGGGAUCCCCCCGUGUCCAACUCAAUCUCAAUUUCAAACUUUUAACAUAGAGUCUUGGUUUAGGUUUCUAAAACCAAUUAAUAUUCCAAUUCACCAAAGUUUAAGAACCUUAAGUAAAAACAAGUGUCCAAAUUACGUACUUUAGUCCCGUUUAGGGACAUUUUCGUAACUUCACGUCCUCGGAAUUAAAAAUUCCGGGACGGGCUGUGACAUCUGCAUACGUUUUAUGAAGUUUUGUGCGGCGAAAAUGACACAAAAAUAGAAUUUUCUAGAAUUUAGGAAAACUGAGUAAAAUGAUGGGAGCAUUUUUGCUCACCACCAUAAACUAUGGUGUAUACUCACCACACACCCAAUCAAUUGACACUUGUUAUUUCACUUAAUCUUGGUUAAUUUUUUUCAAAAUUGAAAAAUUAACAUUUAAUGUGAAAGUUAACUAGAGUUAAGUGAAAUGACAUGUGUUAUUUCACUUAAUCUUGGUUAAUUUUUUUCAAAAUUGAAAAAUUAACAUUUAAUGUGAAAGUUAACUAGAGUUAAGUGAAAUGACACGUGUCAAUUGAUUAGAUGUAUGGUGAGCAUACACCGUAGUUUUAUGGUGGUGAGCAAAAAUGCUCCCGUAAAAUGAUAGCCUACAAUCUUUGUGAGCAAUGCGUUAUUGAGUUUUCAUAAGAUCUUUUGCCAAAUAUGCAAAAAAAAAAAAAAAAAAAAAAAAAAAAGUUAUAGGCCACUUGGAAACGGAUCUCCUGUAUAAAUGUGGAAUAAAUAAUGAUGUUAAAAAAAAUAAACUAAGUGAAUUUUUAUUGACAUGUAAGUAUUCCUCCAUCAUUUAUUGAUUAACACAUAUAAUGACAUUUAGCUCAAAGUGAAGAGCAAAAAUAUGCACUGAAUCAUUUUGUAAAGAAAAAGAAAACCAAGAAUAUGAAUGCCUUCGAAGCUGUUUUUGGUAUUUGUUGUUCUUGACAGGUACGAAUUGCAAUGCAUUUUUUGCUGCCUUGCUUAUGUUCUCUGCAUAGUAAUAAGUUAAUAACCAGUUCAUGAUAUUCUGUUGACUUACAUAAAAAGCACGGCCAAAAGUUCAGUGAUAUAUUUGGAUGAAAAUAGUUUGUUUUAAAAAAAUGUCUGUCCGGGGCUUGUAACUCCAGCUACUAAGAGUAUUUACCUUAAAAAUCGAAACAAAGUCGACUUUGAGGGCGUGCAAUAUGUGCGACUGCAUAGGACCCCGACUUUUUAGGGCCCUGAAUUUUAAUAACCUUUUGUGAAAGUAGUACAUGUUUAUAAGACGCGGGAAUAUUAAAUACAAUAGUGCUUAGCUGAGUUGUCAAGCUUCCAUUAUUUUCGAAUCCCUGCCUUCAUGUUUGUUAUUUUUGUUUUUAUUUUCCAAUUGUGGUAUUAUAGUGUGUUUACAUAAGAAGAGUGGAAUGAGAGAAAUGAGAAUUGCACUCAUUCCAAGUUAUUCAAGUGUUUAUUAACACUUGGGGUUUAGGGUUGUUUCUCUGUCUCUAUGGGCAACGACCAAUAUGAAAGAAGAAAAUGGAGAAAAGAGAUGGGAAAGCUGAAAAGAGUUGGGGGAUGGGGUGCAGCGCGGACUUCACGAGAAAGUAAAAAGAAUUGGGGGAUGGGGAAGAAAAAUCAGAAGGGAAGAAGAAGAAGAAUCAAGAGUGAAGAAUCAGAAGAAGAUGGGAAAAAGAGAUGGGAAAUCUGAAAAGAGUUGGGGGAUGGGGUGGGGGCUUUACCAGAAAGAAAAAGGAAUUGGGGGAUGGGGAAGAAGGCAUUACAGGUGAGGAUUAGUUUAGGUCUAGUUGUGGUAGAUGGAUUAGUUAAUUCAGUCCAACAAAAACACUAAAUAUACAGUGCCUAAUUUUAAAAAGCCAGAAAGGCAAUUACUCAAGUUUGCGAAUCCAACAGAGAAAUUAUUGCACAGCCUCUCAAACAAACCAAACCAAACUGACCCUCCCUCUCAAUAUAAUCUCCCUCGUUCACCAAUUUCUCCUCAUCAGCCAAAAUAUGAAGGCUGUCUACUUUCUACUUUCCUUUCUUCUCUUCUCUUCCUUCUCAUCAUUCUCUUCCGCUCUAACUGAUGCCGAAGUGUCCUCCAUUACUCGCCGUCAGCUCUUACAUUUUCACGAAGGCGAUGACCAACGCGAUGAAAAAGAAUAUGAGGUUGAGUUGAACGUAACUUUCCCUCACACCAGGCUUAGACGUGCAUACAUUGCACUCCAAGCUUGGAAAAAGGCAAUUUACUCAGACCCUCUUAAAACAACUGAGAAUUGGGUUGGUGGUGAUGUUUGUGCUUACACCGGAGUGUUUUGUGCCCCUGCACUUGAUGACCCGAAAAUAGAGGUUGUGGCCGGCAUUGAUAUCAACCAUGCAGACAUUGCAGGAUACCUUCCGGUUGAAUUAGGCCUGCUGAGUGACAUUGCAUUGUUCCACAUCAACACUAACAGGUUUUGUGGUGUCAUUCCCAAGAGCUUUGCUAGGUUAACUCUUCUCCACGAGCUUGAUGUUAGCAACAACCAAUUCGUGGGAUCGUUCCCUGAAGUUGUUCUCAAAAUUCCCAACCUCAAGUAUCUUGACCUCAGGUUUAAUGACUUCGAGGGAAAAUUGCCUCCUGAGCUUUUCAACAAGGAAUUGGAUGCUUUGUUCUUGAACAACAACAAGUUCACAUCCACCAUUCCUGACACACUUGGAAACUCCCCCGUCUCGGUUCUUGUGGUCUCCAACAAUCGUCUAGAAGGUUGCAUUCCUCACACCAUAGGAAAGAUGGUGAACACCUUGAAUGAGGUCAUCUUCUCUGAAAACAAGUUUGGUGGGUGUUUGCCUAAUGAAAUCGGAUACCUCUCAAAUGUGACGGUGUUUGAUGUUAGCUCAAACACAUUCAACGGGAUCAUGUCGAAAAAAUUCGAAGGCUUUCAAAAGGUGGAGGAGUUGAACAUUGCACAUAACAUGCUAACCGGGUUUGUUCCUGAGUGUUUAUGCAACUUGCCUAGCUUGGGAAAUUUCACAUUUUCCUACAACUACUUCAAUGGUGAGGCCAAAAAAUGUGUGCCGGUUUCUCAGAAGGGCGUUGUGUUUGAAGACACAAACAAUUGCUUGCCGGAUAGGCCUAAACAGAAGUCAGCAAAACAAUGUCAAGUUGUAGUGAGCAAGCCAGUGGAUUGUAGUAAGGCAAAGUGUGGAGGUGGAUCAGGACCUUCAAAACCUUCCCUUCCUACACCAAAACUGCAACCACCUAUUCACUCUGCACCACCACAUGUACAAAUGCCUUCAUUCCCUGCACCUUCAGGUCAAAGUCCAGUUGUUCCAAUUCACCCUAAGUCACCACCGGUUCAUUCACCACCACCACCACCAUUCCAUUCUCCUCCACCACCUAUAGCAACACCACCAUCACCCGCAUCUAUAGGGCAAAGUCCCGUUGUUCCAAUUCAACCUAAAUCACCCAUACCACUAAGGCAAACUCCUCCACCACCAUUAGUCAACUCAUCCCCACCACCAAUUUACUCUCCCCCACCACCAGUGCACUCACCCCCACCACCGGUCCACUCACCCCUACCACCAGUCCAUUCUCCACCACCACCAGUUCACUCACC